CAGAUUUAGACAACGCAGACAGACCACAGGGAAUGACAAUCAAGACACGAAAUGAGCAGUAUGUGGCUAGUGACUUAUCUUCCUGAGGAGAGUGACCGAGAUGUCUGUUUGGAAUUAUUCCUGGAAUUAGAUCAGCAUGAGGUCUCCUCUACCAAUCUAAGUUUGACAUACCUGGUGCGUUGGCACAGUUGCUUUGCAAAAGGAAAUGGUGAGAAGCGAACCCUCUGUGAGCAAACCAUCAGCAGCAGGGACAGCAUCUCUUGAGCAUGCAUGGGUGGCAUGGGCACAUGCAGCAGGACCGCUGGCUCAUGGGCAGCUGCUCCAGAAGCAUGUGUUUCUGCAAGGGAUGGUGCUGACAUGUAGCAAGGAUGAAGCAUGAUGGUAUGGAAGAGCAGUGACUGGCACACCAGCUGGCCAGUGAAGGCUUUCUCCUUCUAAACCAAACUUUGCAGCCCCAGCCCCGUGAAAAUGGAUGCUUCCAGGAGUUCAAGAAAGAGCCCGGAUAGGCACAACGGCCGAGCACAGUGGUGGUUUGCAGCUGGAGGGCAGAGAGGAGCGGCUGGAUUGGCUGGGGUGGCACAGACCAACAGACCCGUCUGCAGCUGGCUGCCCGGAGUGGUUACGGAUGCACUGCUGGACAGUGGAGUUGGAGAAUUGAGCUUUUGAGCCCCAACUGAGGGCAUAAACGUGGUCCUUGGCUACCUGAUACAGACUCGUGUUUCCUGCGAGCAGAAAUGUACAACUAUUGUUGUGUUUGCAAAAACACCUGGUCUUUGGUUAACAAACAAGUUUAUUUUACCAGUGCCAAGUACUUAGUAAAACAUUUAUUAGUAAAGUACUUAUUACUGAAGUAGCUUCUGUUUGUUACGCUUAUAGAAUAUGGGCUGUGAUGACAGUCCUAUUUUACUUCAGGUACAAAAUACAAAUGAUCACACAAUCGAAAAUACAACAAUUUCUAACUUCAGUCUUCCCACGUUCUGAAUAAAUGUUGAUCUUGCAACAGAACAAAAAGAUGUUCGCUCUUAUUUUGUUCUGCUUCUGCUUUAUGCUGUCUUUAGGAAAACUUUUCCUAUUGACAUUCCUAUGCAGUGUGAUUCAGGGCAUGUACACUAUGGCAUAUUUUAUUAACAUGUAAGAUGAAAUAUCCUACCCAUUGCAAGCCUUAAUAAAUAUGAAAGCAUUGCACCGGACAACAAUGCCUGUGCCCACAGCAAAGCUUUAAUUGCUUGGGAAAACUGAGCAAAAAUUAACUUCACAUCGUGAAGCUAUAAAACAAAUUAAGGACAUUGAAUCAUUUGCAAUGCCUCUGGCUAUAUCUGCUAAAUAUUUUCUAACCAUUCUAAGAAAGCAAAACAGAAGGCAAACCCUCCAUGAAUAGAAACAAUAAUGGUCAGUAGCAAGCAUUGCAUGUUGUUUGAAUGGAAAGCAAUUUAUCACUUCUGAAAUAAAAGCUGUUUAUUCUUGUGUUUCACUGUCUGUAGCAAUCUUUACAAUUUAUCUGUGAAAAAGUGGGGCACUGUACCACUAUUAGCAUAUGAAUACUUGACACACCAAAUUGGCUGUACAAUAACAGAAGGACAUUUACUAUUGGUGUUAUGCACGCAAACAAAGCAGCCAUUUUUGGGGGAAAAAAAAAAAAAGCAAAAAAGUAAGAGAGAGAGAGGGAGAAAGAGGUGAUGAGGGUGUUUAACCCAUUGUCUGUCUCUCUAGUUUCACACCACUGCUCUGACGGGGCAGCCUGGCAGAGCAUCUGGAAGUCCCCCAAGAACACGAACACCCAGGUUAAAUUCCGGGACAAAGAUCAUACAUGAUAAAUGUGCAUCCAGACUAGAAAACCAGUGCAGAAUGAGCGAUUCUGUGCAUCUUUGCCCAAGGCAGGGGGUGGCAGGGUGUGGAGGCUGCACAGGAAUGAAGCAUUGCCAUGGUACAGUUUUAUUUCACGGGCCUUGGGUCACAUGUGUGAAACUAUUUCUCAAAGAGGCUGCAUACAUAAUUGAGGCCCUAUGAAGGGCUCUCAGUUGAAGUUGCCAGGCUACAUUUGUUUCAAAAGCAGAGCCAUUUGUUAUCAAAUUUAAAUUAACUCUCUCAGCGCUGACUUAGGGUUUACAGAACAGCGUGUCAGGUGGUACUAGCUGUUGGAGGAAGGAGGAGUAGUGCCUGAUAACUGGCAGCAGCAGCAUUUCACAAAGAACAGGAACCUUGACUGCAUUUAGGCCUGUGAAUUGGUAAUUUUAAUAAAAAUAAUAAUAAUUUGAGGGGU